UUCUUAACUAUCUAGAAGGAAUUAAGGCCUGAAAUUGAAGUUUUUACGUCGAAAAUUGAGCUCGCCGGUUUCUGGAAAUUCUCGCCGGUUUCUGGAAAGUUUCCGGCCACAUUCAUACUGUUCAAGGUGAUUGACGGUCUUCCUUGGGUGAGCGGUUUCGGUGUGUAUUGUGUUGAAGUGAAGACGCAGCGGGACUAGAGCGGGUAAUCCUGUAGGUCAGGAGAAUCAGGGCGGUGAUCGUGCGGGUUAGAGCAUUUGUUAUAAUUUUACAGCAAUUGUAAUAGUGAGGUGAGUUAAGCUCAUUUGAGCCUUGCAAUUUGAUUUGGUGAGAGUGUGCUGUAAUAAAUAACUUGAGAAUGUGGUUUAUUGUAUUAUUGAGAGGUGUGAAGUGUGGUUGUUUUUGAGAAAAAAAUUCAGGACGUUGGUUUGUAAUAGUUAUUAUUCAUGUUUCGGAUUUGAAUUGUUUAUUCAAAAUUCGGGGCGUGACACUGAAACCAUAAACUUUAACUUGUUAGGAUGGUAAAACAUAAUAGGAAGGUAAAAAAAAAAAAUUAAUGUCUCACUUUUAAAUAUUAAUUCUCAAACUGUCGAUUGGGGCCCAGAAGAAAACGAAAACAAAAGUGAGCCCAUUGAAUCAUUGAUGACGACUACACCAAAGUUAGAUGGUCUAGGCCCAGAACAGAGACCCAGUAAACGUUAAUUUAGAGUGUAUAAAUUAAAACCCUAUCUACUGUCCAAUUCUGAACCCUGAAUCCUAAAUCUUCAAACUCUCUCUACGCCUCCAGUAUGAUUGUCUAUCUGCAACCAAUAUCCGAUCUCGACCUGAACCCUGCCCAACUGAAAACUCUACGUACUAAACUCAAGCACCUCAUCCGGCAAGGUCGCUAUGUCGAGUUUGAAUCAUCAUCACGGAAGUUGUUGGCAAAACAUGGAUUAAUUAGGAGCAAAGGAGAAGCACCGAAUGCUCCUGACAACAGCCACCGUGGCUGCGGCCGUAGCGCAACUGGUGAAGGUUUAACUGACAGUCCUCCUUUACCAAAGGGCCAUGGUUAUAUUUCUUUGGGAACCAUGGUGGAUAAGCAUGGUAAUGUCUCUGAAAUACCUUCUAGCCGUUCUGCUCUCAUGUAUUGUGGUCUUUGUUGUAAAGAAGGAGACCACUGGACACGAAAUUGUCCAGACUGGCAUCGACCAGAACCAGAACCAGCAUCUGCUGUUCAGACCAAGAGAAAAGA